rnacentral:rRNA from 1 species
CCUACGGGAGGCAGCAGUGGGGAAUAGUGCACAAUGGGGGAAACCCUGAUGCAGCGACGCCGCGUGAGUGAAGAAGUAUUUCGGUAUGUAAAGCUCUAUCAGCAGGGAAGAAAAUGACGGUACCUGAGUAAGAAGCCCCGGCUAACUACGUGCCAGCAGCCGCGGUAAUACGUAGGGGGCAAGCGUUAUCCGGAUUUACUGGGUGUAAAGGGAGCGUAGACGGCAGCGCAAGUCUGAAGUGAAAUGCCGGGGCUUAACCCCGGAACUGCUUUGGAAACUGUGCAGCUAGAGUGCAGGAGAGGUAAGUGGCUUUCCUAGUGUAGCGGUGACAUGCGUAGAUCUUAGGCGGAACACCAGUGGCGAAGGCGGCUUACUGGACUGUACCUGACGUUGAGGCUCGCCAGCGUGGGGAGCAACCAGGAUUCGAUCCCCCGGUAGUC